UAGGGAAUCUUCGGCAAUGGGGGGAACCCUGACCGAGCAACGCCGCGUGAGUGAAGAAGGUUUUCGGAUCGUAAAGCUCUGUUGUUAAGGAAGAACGAGUGUGAGAAUGGAAAGUUCAUACUGUGACGGUACUUAACCAGAAAGGGACGGCUAACUACGUGCCAGCAGCCGCGGUAAUACGUAGGUCCCGAGCGUUGUCCGGAUUUAUUGGGCGUAAAGCGAGCGCAGGCGGUUAGAAAAGUCUGAAGUGAAAGGCAGUGGCUCAACCAUUGUAGGCUUUGGAAACUGUUUAACUUGAGUGCAGAAGGGGAGAGUGGAAUUCCAUGCGUAGCGGUGAAAUGCGUAGAUAUAUGGAGGAACACCGGUGGCGAAAGCGGCUCUCUGGUCUGUAACUGACGCUGAGGCUCGAAAGCGUGGGGAGCGAACAGGAUUAGAUACCCUGGUAGUCCACGCCGUAAACGAUGAGUGCUAGGUGUUAGGUCCUUUCCGGGACUUAGUGCCGGAGCUAACGCAUUAAGCACUCCGCCUGGGGAGUACGACCGCAAGGUUG
rnacentral:rRNA from 1 species